GAUCGGCAUUGUGGUGCGAUCCCACCGCCGACACGACAGCAGCCGGAUAAUAUUGGUACUGGUGAGACUGCGGAUAACUUUGCUCGUAGCCGGGCUGCUGCGAUUGUUGGAUGGCACUACUCGGAGUAUUCCAGAAUCCGCCGUCAAUGCGUUGAGAAAUCCGAUAUCAGCUGGAGAUAAGAUAAAGAGGCUCGUUCCUUUUUGCCGUCGGGAGAAGUGGAACUUUAGUUUGUUGUUGUGGUGACCAUGAAGAUACUUGUGCUUUUAAAGUUGGCAACUGUUUUGACAGUUAUUUCGGCUGAUUUUCUCAACAAGAACAAUGCAGAAGACGAUGUGUUUGACGUCAGUUUAGAAAAUGAAGAAAUGCAACAUACCAACAAGCGGUUCACUCCUGACUGGGAAAGCUUAGACACUCGAGAAAUACCGUCCUGGUUUGACAAUGCCAAAUUCGGGGUUUUUAUUCACUGGGGAGUUUUCUCUGUCCCCUCGUUUGGCGAAUGGUUUUGGUACAAUUGGCAGGAGAAAAGUCCUCCUUUCGUGGAGUUUAUGGAGAAGAACUAUCCGCCCGGUUUUACUUAUGCCAAUUUCGCCCAACAAUUCCGCGCCGAAUUUUUCGAUCCUAAUCACUGGGCUGAAAUACUGAAGAGUUCAGGGGCCAAAUACGUCGUCCUGACAAGCAAGCACCACGAAGGGUUCACUCUUUGGCCGUCAAAGUAUUCCUGGAACUGGAAUGCCAUGGAUGUUGGACCCAAACGAGAUCUCGUCGGUGAAUUGGCCGAAGCCAUUAGAGAGAAAACGAACAUGCAUUUCGGCCUGUAUCACAGUUUGUACGAAUGGUAUCACCCCCUGUACCUCCAAGAUAAAGCCAACAAUUUCGAGACGCAAGAUUUUGUCCGGUUGAAAACGAUGCCCGAACUGUACGAAUUGGUAAACACUUAUAAACCGGACGUCAUUUGGUCGGAUGGCGACUGGGAAGCCAACGACAAAUACUGGGACACGCUCAACUUCCUGGCCUGGCUUUACAACGACAGUCCAGUCCGUCAUACGGUGGUCGUGAAUGAUCGGUGGGGACGUGGCGUUGGCUGUAAACACGGCGAUUUCGUGAAUUGUCAAGACAGAUACAAUCCAGGUGUUUUGCAGACGCGUAAAUGGGAGAACGCCAUGACCAUCGACAAAGAAGCCUGGGCCUUCCGACGUAACGCCCGCCUUUCCGACUUUCUAACGACUCGGGAGUUGAUCGAGACGCUUGUGACCACCGUCAGUUGCGGAGGAAAUUUAUUGAUGAAUAUCGGGCCCACGGCGGACGGCGUGAUUCGUCCAAUAUUCGAAGAGCGUCUGCGCGACGUCGGGUCGUGGUUGCAAGUCAACGGCGAGGCUAUUUUCGGAACUCUUCCGUGGACACUCCAAAACGAUACUCUAACCAGCAAUGUUUGGUACACCAGUAAGAGAAUUUUCAUAUGGAAGUACGUGUACGGAAUAACUCUACGAUGGCCGGAAAACAACACCCUAAUGAUCGGAGCUCCAGUUCCAUUGACUGAUGGAUCUGUCGUCACUUUGCUGGGAUACAAAGAUCCAUUAAAAUGGAGUAUUUUUAAAGGCGUCCUAUCAAUCCAAUUUCCUGAAAUGAAUAAAGUCGAGAGCCAGUGGGGAUGGACAGUGAAAUUCGCCAUAUAAUAAUAAUUGACUACUUACUAAUUGUUAAAAAAUUGUUUCGCAUAAACAUGUUGUUGUACUACACUGUUUCUAUGUGUGUGUGUGAUAUUUUAUGACUACGAGUUGGAGCAGAGGAUCUUGUUUCACUUUCAGACGGCAGUAAAAACGAAGAGGAGCUCUGCUGUGUAUCCACGCAACCCCCCUGCGCGAAAAGAGGAUUAGUCUCUCCGAUCGACUGCGUUGGAGGUCUUGGUUUAUUGUCUGUAUUUUCCCAACACUUUGGGUGAAAUUAAAUUCUAUGCAACAUUA
rnacentral:misc_RNA from 1 species